UACGUAGGGCGCAAGCGUUAUCCGGAAUUAUUGGGCGUAAAGAGCUCGUAGGCGGUUUGUCGCGUCUGCCGUGAAAGUCCGGGGCUCAACUCCGGAUCUGCGGUGGGUACGGGCAGACUAGAGUGAUGUAGGGGAGACUGGAAUUCCUGGUGUAGCGGUGAAAUGCGCAGAUAUCAGGAGGAACACCAAUGGCGAAGGCAGCUCGCUGGAACGGUAGCUGACGCUGAGGCGCGAAAGCGUGGGGAGCGAACAGG
rnacentral:rRNA from 1 species